rnacentral:tmRNA from 1 species
GGGGCCGACCUGGUUUCGACCGGACAGGGAAGGCAAUACAUUGCGUAACGUGGAGCAUCCUUGCCACGUAAAAAGGAUGCACAAUUUUUAGUUGGCAACGCUAACUACGCACUCGCAGCAUAACCUGCGACACA